rnacentral:rRNA from 1 species
UACGAAGGGGGCUAGCGUUGCUCGGAAUCACUGGGCGUAAAGCGCACGUAGGCGGCUUUCUAAGUCAGGGGUGAAAUCCUGGAGCUCAACUCCAGAACUGCCUUUGAUACUGGAAAGCUUGAGUUCGGGAGAGGUGAGUGGAACUGCGAGUGUAGAGGUGAAAUUCGUAGAUAUUCGCAAGAACACCAGUAGCGAAGGCGGCUCACUGGCCCGGUACUGACGCUGAGACGCGAAAGCGUGGGGAGCAAACAGG